UGGUCGGGGCAUGGGCCGCUACACGAGACGCUAAUCGAAGCCACCGAUCAGGAGACACUAGUCGCUACAUGAGUCGCUAAACGAUGAUUAUUGUUGGGACACGAGUUGGGACACGAGUCGGUUUUCGAGCGGGCGCCCCCCAAGUGGGCACGUCGUCGUUCGGGGAUUUCCCUUGACGGCGUGCUUGCGCCAACGGUUGGUCAAUGCCAACCGGGCCGAAAUGAAGUUGUGGCCACACAACAUCAUCGAGGCAUGCCGCGCGUUGAUCUAUGUUGGAUACCUGUCGGGUCGGCUAAUCCCGCACGACGUGCAUGGAACGUCACCGGCCCAUGAAUUGGGCGUUGAAAGCCUUGCUCAACGCUACUGAGGCCAAAUCGCCGCUGAUCCUCGUUUAAAGCAUGUCGAGUUACCCAAGCUUGGCUUGGGACAAGAUGUGCCAAGAACGUGGUGCUGCGGGCCAAGGCAAGCUGACGGGCGACCUGUUGAUCCAUGUUCGAAGUGCGAUUGGUUGGCCUAGCCUGGCUAGCGACUAUACGUCAGUACGAUAUGGUGAUUUCGGUGUGCAUCGAGGCAUGUUGGUUUUAUUGUUUUUCUUUGUUACUUYCGCAUCGUUCGGUGCAUUCUGGGGGUCGUUUUGGCUUUUGGUUGCUUGCUUGGCCUUUCGGCUGGGUGGGUCGCUACUAGUCGGACGGUUUUCGGGAAUGUCGACCGGGAAGGUGCAUGAGUGGUGUUUGGUUUGUUACGGGUGGUUGGCUGUUUGCUUGCGCAACAACGUCCACGCGGCAUACCUCUUCAGUUUUGCUUCAAGACAUGGUUUGUCUUGAGCACAUUGCGGGUUUCCUGUGUUGCAUACCUAUCCGAUGGUAACGUGCCGGCUUUAUGAUGUCCCUUUUCGUCAUGCGUCGCUCAUGCGGCGUGGGACGAACAUCGAAGCGGUCUUUGUGAUCCACCUCGUCUUUGCAUUUGCAACGAUGAUGUGGCCUACGAAGCAUCGCUUGGUCUCUUGCAUACGGAACCUGAUGUGGGCAUGGGUCUUAUAAGAUCCUGAUCUGCCCUCGUUAAGCGUUCUCGCUUCUCCAAAACGAUCGCCUGCCAUGUCUCGGCUUGUCCUUGCAUGGUGGGCUACGUCGA
rnacentral:misc_RNA from 1 species